UAACAAGGAUUCCCCUAGUAACUGCGAGUGAAGCGGGAAAAGCUCAAAUUUAAAAUCUGACAGUUUCACUGUCCGAGUUGUAAUCUGGAGAAGCAUUUUCCGUGUCGGACCGUGUACAAGUCUCUUGGAAUAGAGCGUCAUAGAGGGUGAGAAUCCCGUCCAUGACACGGACUACCGAUGCUUUGUGAUAUGCUCUCGAAGAGUCGAGUUGUUUGGGAAUGCAGCUCAAAAUGGGUGGUAAAUUCCAUCUAAAGCUAAAUAUUGGCGAGAGACCGAUAGCGAACAAGUACCGUGAGGGAAAGAUGAAAAGCACUUUGGAAAGAGAGUUAAACAGUACGUGAAAUUGUUGAAAGGGAAACGCUUGAAGUCAGUCGCGUUGAUUGAGACUCAGCCUUGCUUUGCAUGGUGUACUUCUCAGUUAACGGGUCAACAUCAAUUUCAGUUGGUGGAUAAAGGCAUUGGGAAUGUGGCACCUUCGGGUGUGUUAUAGACCUUUGUUGCAUACACUGACCGGGAUUGAGGAACGCAGCACGCCACUAAGGCCAGGGAUUCGUCCCAUGUAACGUGCUUAGGAUGUUGGCAUAAUGGCUUUAAGCGACCCGUCUUGAAACACGGACCAAGGAGUCUAACAUGCCUGCGAGUAUUAGGGUGGAAAA
rnacentral:rRNA from 1 species